rnacentral:lncRNA from 1 species
UAUAUAUAUAUAUAUAUAUAUAUUUACAGAGCUUAUCCACAGUUCCCUGAUAUUACUGAGAUGGCCUAGGCUGUAAAUAGCACAUGCGCGGCGGCGCAGAAGAAGAGACAAGCAAGCUACUGCUCAGCCUUCCCCUAGGAUAUAGUUCUGAAUUUAUACCUAAAAGAAAAAGUUCCAAUAAUUACAAGUUUCAACAUGUAGACGGAAACAGUAUUUAAAAUAAUUUUGUUGGUUUGUAAAAAAAGUGAAAUUUUAGUUUUAAAUAAAAGUACUUUGAAUUUCA